GACGAACGCUGGCGGCGUGCUUAACACAUGCAAGUCGAACGGAAAGGCCCUGCUUUUGUGGGGUGCUUGAGUGGCGAACGGGUGAGUAACACGUGAGUAACCUGCCCUUGACUUUGGGAUAACUUCAGGAAACUGGGGCUAAUACCGGAUAGGAGCUCCUGCUGCAUGGUGGGGGUUGGAAAGUUUCGGCGGUUGGGGAUGGACUCGCGGCUUAUCAGCUUGUUGGUGGGGUAGUGGCUUACCAAGGCUUUGACGGGUAGCCGGCCUGAGAGGGUGACCGGCCACACAGGAACUGAGACACGGUCCAGACGCAGACGGGAGGCAGCAGGAGGGAAUCUUCCGCAAGGGGCGAAAGCUUGACGGAGCAGCGCCGCGGGAGUGAUGAAGGUCUUCGGAUCGGAAAACCCGGUUAGUAGGGAAGAACAAAUAUGGAAGGAACUAUGCACGGCUGGACGGUACCUAAUCAGAAAGCCACGGCUAACUACGUG
rnacentral:rRNA from 1 species